AACGAACGCUGGCGGCGUGCCUAACACAUGCAAGUCGAACGAGAAAGGGGCUUCGGCUCCGAGUAAAGUGUCGCACGGGUGAGUAACACGUGGGUAACCUGCCUCUAAGAUUGGGAUAACUCGUCGAAAGAUGAGCUAAUACCGAAUAAGACCACAGUUCCCGCGGGAACAGGGGUCAAAGGUAGCCUCUGCUUGCAAGCUAUCACUUAGAGAUGGGCCUGCGCACCAUUAGCUAGUUGGUAGGGUAACGGCCUACCAAGGCAAAGAUGGUUAGCUGGUCUGAGAGGAUGAUCAGCCACACUGGAACUGAGACACGGUCCAGACUCCUACGGGAGGCAGCAGUGAGGAAUAUUGCGCAAUGGGCGAAAGCUUGACGCAGCAACGCCGCGUGAGUGAUGAAGGCCUUCGGGUCGUAAAGCUCUGUCGGGAGGAACGAAUGCUCCUGAGGUUAACAGCCUCGGGAGGUGACGGUACCUUCAAAGGAAGCACCGGCUAACUCUGUG
rnacentral:rRNA from 1 species